AAAAUGAUUGGCGAUAAGUGGCAUGCCGAAGCCGCGGGAUCCAGAGCGGUUCGCCGCACUGGAUCGGUAGGGGAGCGUAAUCGUGACGGUGAAGACUGUCUGGAAGGACUUUUGGAGUCGCGAUUAGUGAGAAUGCAGACACGAGUAGCGAUAAACCGGGUAAGAAUCCCCGGUCGCCGUAAACCCAAGGUUUCCUGGGGCCAGGUUCGUCCUCCCAGGGUUAGUCGGGAGCUAAGACGAGGUCGUAGGACGUAGUCGAUGCACAGCCGGUCAAUAUUCCGGCACCAGACUGGGUCAAACCGUUGGUGACGCAGAGAGAAAAGCGGACAAGUCAUUGAAAGACAGAGCCUAGGGGCAACCCGAAGCGCGCCGCCGGACAAUCUGCCUAGAAAACCCAACGGCCCUUUCCCAGCCUGCCCGUACCGUAAACCGACACAGGUGGGUGAGUCGAAUAGACUAAGGCGCGCGAGAGAGCCCUCUCUAAGGAACUCGGCAAAUUAACCCCGUAACUUCGGGAUAAGGGGCGCUCACUUCGGUGAGCCACAGUAAAUUGCGUUUAGCG
rnacentral:rRNA from 1 species